GAUAAGCAAAUCCAAGUAUCAGGGCUGGACAUCACUCUAUUUAUGUGAUGUGAAGGUUAAACUCUGUUAAACUUUGGAGAACAGAGAAGACCCCAGUACAAACACCACACACCAUGUUCUCUACAUCUCUACUGCUCCUGCUGGCAGCUGCUUCCUAUGUGCAUGGUGAGGAACUGACUCAGCCUGCUUCCAUGACAGUCCAGCCAGGCCAGAGUCUCUCCAUCAACUGCAAGGUUUCAUAUUCAGUUACGAGCUAUUAUACAGCUUUUAUCCGACAACCUGCAGGAAAAGCUCUGGAGUGGAUUGGAUAUAUUGCUGGUGGGACUACCUAUUAUAGUGACAAACUGAAAAAUAAGUUCAGUCUCUCCACUGACACGUCUACUAACACAGUAACAAUUCGAGGACAGAACAUGCAGACUGAAGACACAGCUGUGUAUUACUGCGCUCGGAGACACAGUGAUACACAUCACCAACAUCCCUGUACAAAAACAUCCUGUACAGUGUACAUUAUAACAGAAUCAACACAAGACACAACACUUACUCACAAGUCUACUGUUCAUAAACAAUAACUGUUCUUUCACAAAAUCAGAAAUACAGCA